UUCAUCUCUUAAAUGAGGGAUUGCCGGUUCGAUUAUCAACUCUAAUGAAUAGAAAAAACUUAUUGGUCAACCCCUACUGCUUGUUCCGUUGAUUGUGAGGCGAGGUAAUAUUCUCAAUAACUCUCAUGAAUAUUGGCUAUGAGAAUAUUGUUAAGAAAAAAAUGCAUCGGUUCUUAAUUUAAUGAUUUUGAGUGCUCGCUGGAUUUUGAGUGCUCCCUGGAUUCUCCGCCCUGGGAAUUGGAGGUCCUUAUUUUGAGGGACCGUUUAAGCUCGUUGUAGUUGUUUUUUGCUUUUAGUUUUCCGACGGAACAAAAAAAAUGAUUUAACUUGAUCCUGGCUUGCCAAAAGAACAAGUUAGUUUAGUAGAUUGGUUUCUGCUGAACCUAAAGAAGGGGACUCUUGAAGAUGGUGUUGAUCUUUGUCUUAAUGGGAAAGUUAACACUGAAUGCUUGAAGAAGUUUGCAGAGAUAGCUCAGAAGUGUUUAGCUGAUCAUGGCCUUGAACGUCCUUCAAUGGGUGAUGUGCUGUGGAAACUUGAGUUUGCACUUCAAUUGGAGAAAAAUCUCAAUGGAGGGAAACAUGAUGCAAGAGAUAAGGCGAAUGAUGCUUAUGCUUCGCGUAAUGCCUCAUUGAAAAUUGAAGAGGGGAUUAUAAGCAGAGAGCUAGCUUGAUCACUCGAGAGGAAGAUAAGAUUUGCAGAUUAUGUUAUUAAGGAGCACCUCAAUUUAGUUAGUUGUUUUCCUUUGCAUUCUCUAUUUCUUCUUAGGAGAGGCCUCCUUGAAUUAAAAGGAGCAGUGUGUUGUAAGGAAAGAAUGAUCCCUUUUCUUUUGUCUAUUUCAUGAAUUUGUAUUUUCUUUGCUCCUCCAACUUUUAAAGGUAAAAGUCAAGUUACCAUAGGUAAACAUACCACCAGCAUAGAUAAAAAGAUAUGUUUGAAUUGUUCCCUUUUGUCCCUUUGAGAAGUAAAUUCUUCUGGUCUAGAAAAGGCAGAGAUGCAUAAAAUAUUUGCAAGUACAGUAUUUUUACCUUUGCCCCUAAUAAGCAAAACAGCUCAAGUUAAGGCUCAAAUCGGGCAAUUUCUUUCUUUCUUUUUUCACAUUUUUUCCUUUUGACAAAUGAGACAAAUUUAACAUUUGGCUAUUCCGUGGUUCCUUUCUUCUUGACAGAAUUUGAGGCCUCUGCAUAGCCUAAAAAUUGAGGAGCUUACAGAAUUAGCCUAGUUCAAUCCAAUGAAUGUUUACACAGUUGUUCGGUUCUUGAAACUCUGUAUGCUACUAUGCUGACAUGCUACCAGCCUACCACCUUUUCUAACUAAGAACUUUGAGGGAGCAAGAUGGAGAUGGAAAGAGACUUGAAUGCAAGAGGAUACAGGAAGGAAUUGUAAUAGGAGAAUCUGAUGAUCUGGCUAGAGGCUAAAGGAUUCCCUCCAUUCACCAAGCAAUCAUCAUAGGAAAGCCUCUUGAACAAUCCGGGGUUGAUUACUCUUGCAGAAGCAAACCAGCCGCAGUGGAUGUGGAUUUCACGUGGAGCACACUCAGAAACACAGGUGUUGGCAAUUUGCACAGCAUACUGUGGAAUCCCAGUAGUAGAUUCUUGGCUUUGUGAGAUGCUUAUGUCUCUGUUACUGCAAGAACCUGAUGGGAAACAAACACACAUUCAGUGAAUGUUUGUAGAUACAUUCGAAAACCACAGUGACGUCAAAAUCGUGGUGAAUAGUCAAAAAAGCUAAAUGCACUCUGAAUGGAAGCAAAAGGAAAAAUGUCAUUUCAGAAUGCAGAAUCUGAGUUGAAGGGCCUGCUAAAACCAAGAUAAGCAUAAGCUACAAUGAAGAAUUAGAAAGAAAAAAGCAAUAUGUUUUCUUGCAGCACCUGAAUGUAUUCCCACAUGGCUAAGUACAAGGGGCAAUAUGGAGCAGAGGAAGAACAGAAGGCAAUAGUUCAUGAUGCUGCUCAUUUUAGUCUUUGUGCAUGACAGACAAGUAGCCAAACUGAUAAACUGUGAAGAAGAAAAUUGAUAACCCACAAGGAGAAAGGGAUAUUAAUACAGGAACGUAAUUGCAAGUCAACUAUGAUCUUUAACCAUCUGCAUGAUUUCAGCUAAUGUUGCUGCAGUAGUAAAAGUGAAUAACAGCAAGACAAUAAUGGUAUUAAAACAUUUGCAUUAUUCUCUCCUAUGGUCAAAUAGCAAUUGCAGAUUCAUCUCCACGGAUUGCUCCUACCUGCAGCUACUGAUAUUUGAAUUGGUGAUUCAAUAUUCAAAUUGGUCAUCAAUUAAUAAUAUUCAUUGUAAUUUAAUACUAAAGAUUCAUUUACUCAGGUAUAUACGUAGCAUAUGAAUGAAAGCAAGCCAUUUGAUCAUAUUUUGC